rnacentral:rRNA from 1 species
UUGCCAUCAUUCAGUUGGGCACUCUAGCGAGACUGCCGGUAAUAACCGGAGGAAGGUGGGAUGACGUCAAAUCAUCAUGCCCCUUAUGACCUGGGCUACACACGUGCUACAAUGGUUGGUACAACGAGUUGCGAGUCGGUGACGGCGAGCUAAUCUCUUAAAGCCAAUCUCAGUUCGGAUUGUAGGCUGCAACUCGCCUACAUGAAGUCGGAAUCGCUAGUAAUCGCGGAUCAGCACGCCGCGGUGAAUACGUUCCCGGGCCUU